UGGGGGAAGAGCAAAAGGGUAGAGAAAUAUAGGCGGCUGAAACACCAAAAUUCACUAUUCUAUUGAGAAAAAUCCUUAGAAAUUCUUGCAAUAUUCAUUCUGAAAUAAUUACUGAGCAAUUGAAGGUUCUAAAGUGAGUUAAAAUCAGUUGGGGUUCAGGUACACAUUUGAACUCGACUCAAUGUAACUUUGAGAUGGAAAAGCAAUGAAAACUGUUCAUACGUUUGCUCCCUGAAUCGUACCUGUUUGGACUGCUUUGUUCACUCCCUGAAAUGUACCUGUUUGGAUUGCUUUUUGUUCAGUAGUCAAACGGAGAUUAAAUGAUAUGGAGUUGUUUAACAUAGUCUAAUAUUGAUGUGUACUAUACGAACACUGGACUGUAUGGACUUUCAUAAUUGUAUAACUCUUACCUUAGAAUAGUAUAAUUCAUGUUAGUUAUUCACAA